rnacentral:misc_RNA from 1 species
GCGAGUCUCGAACUCCCAACCCUUGCGAACGCGUCCCAUUGACGUUGCCUCGGCGGGCGGCUCCAGGGAGGAGCCCCCGGCUGGCGGUCCCCUAGGGGGCCCCGGCGCCCGCCGGGCGACCUGAACAACUCUGUAUCUAGCGGUCUCUCUGAGUCGUUACCAAACCAGUCA